rnacentral:RNase_P_RNA from 1 species
AGAGGGUCGGGUGAUCGCGGCUCCCGGAACCGCCCCCGUAGGGGGCAGGCCGGGGUCGAGGAAAGUCCGGACUCCUCAGAGCACGGUGGUUGUUAACGGCAACCCGGGGUGACCCGCGGGACAGUGCCACAGAAAAGAACCGCCCGGUGUGAACCGGGUCAGGGUGAAAAGGUGCGGUAAGAGCGCACCAGUGCCCCGGGUGACCGGGGCAGCUGGGUAAACCCCACCGGGAGCAAGGUCAUGUGAUCGCACCGUCGCCCUCCGGGGCCGGUGGUGCGGUGUUGCCCCGACGGCUGCUCGUCGGACAAGGGGCAGGUAGACCGCUGGAGGCGGCCGGUGACGGUCGUCGUAGAUGGAUGAUCACCACCUCCGGUGACGCCCCGACAGGUGUCACCGGCGGGACAGAAUCCGGCUCACAGACCCUCUCGA